AGGACGAACGCUGGCGGCGUGCCUAAUACAUGCAAGUCGAGCGGGUGACCUACGGGUCAUCAGCGGCGGACGGGUGAGUAACACGUGGGCAACCUGCCCUUCAGACUGGGAUAACGCCUGGAAACGGGUGCUAAUGCCAGAUAGGUUCUUCUUCCGCAUGGGGAGGAGAAGGAAAGGCGCUACGGCGCUACUGAGGGAUGGGCCCGCGGCGCAUUAGCUAGUUGGGGGGUAACGCUCACCAAGGCGACGAUGCGUAGCCGACCUGAGAGGGUGAUCGGCCACACUGGGACUGAGACACGGCCCAGACUCCUACGGGCGGCAGC
rnacentral:rRNA from 1 species